rnacentral:rRNA from 1 species
UACGAAGGGGGCUAGCGUUGUUCGGAAUUACUGGGCGUAAAGCGCGCGCAGGCGGUUUUUCAAGUCAGUGGUGAAAGCCCGGAGCUCAACUCCGGAACUGCCAUUGAAACUGUAAAACUUGAGGAUGAGAGAGGUGAGUGGAAUUCCCAGUGUAGAGGUGAAAUUCGUAGAUAUUGGGAAGAACACCGGUGGCGAAGGCGGCUCACUGGCUCAUAUCUGACGCUCAGGCGCGAAAGCGUGGGGAGCAAACAGG